GGUUCGGGCCCGAAAUCUAAAUUUGAUUGAUUUAUUUGGCAUUAUUAUUUAUGGGUGAUAAUCUGAAUUUUUAUUUGAAAAUAAUUGAGUAUGAAUUUACUUGAAUGCCCUUGUAUGUGUGAAUAGGUGAAAAAUUGGCCUUAGGGGCAAAAUGGUCAUUUGACCUUUAUUUUCUAUAUUUGGUAAAAGCUGAUUUUUUAGAGAAGUAAAUGAAUUUCUGGUUUUUGUAUCCCUCACACCCGACCCCUCUCUCUCUCUCUAACCCUUUCUUUUAGAAAUCUUGAUUUUGAGAAAAAAGGGCUUGAUUUGGUGUAGCUUUGUGGAUGUUCUUGCUUGGGAAGAACUUGAGGAACUUGUGGAAAGGGUAAGGCAUUAGCUGAUCAGCCAUGAGUUUCAGGAGCAGGGCGAAGAAUGUACAUGUUCAUGCCACUUCAGACCAAGCGGGUUAUGGGUCUAACAGUGUUGACUUUUGUAUUCUGUUUUGCCGCUUAGGUCGGCUAGUAAGAAAGAACUUGUAAUAAUUUUGUAAAUAUUUUUGGGAUCCCAACUAUGUUUGAAAAAGUUUAAAUAUAUUACAAGUUUAUUUUCA